CCUAAUUCCGUUUAUCCUCGACUCCGUAUUCCUUCAGGCAGCGUAAAACCGUGACAGUAUGUGUAUUUCCAUACUGGAUAAGCCGGCUUUUGUUUCUUUUGUUAUUGCCCCCGCCCUCCGAGGGAAGCGUGGCUACUUAUUAUGCAGCACUCUGGCCGGCUCUAGCUGAUAUCAAAAUUCAAUGAAGAUGGACGCAGCAAAGAUGAUCGCAGACGAGCUGAACCGUGGCCGUUACACCGAAAAUGUUUUGAAGUACUUCUUCGACAAGCCGGAUGCUUGUGAACAAGUGCUCACUGAUUCUGAAGAUGAUCUGAGCGACGAUGAAAGUAGCAUAAUAAGACUGUAUAAUAUCCCUAAUCUACAACUGAGCGAAGAUGACGACGAGGAAGAAUGUAUUGGACUGGCAUCAGACAAGUUGGACCGUAAGAUAUCAGAGGCUAUAUCGAUAGUAACAUUUGAUUGGGAUAAAGACAGAGAAAUGGGGAAAAUCCGUAACAUUUAGAGGCAAACAGACGCACAGUUCAAACUUCGGGGAUGGUUACAUCCACAUAGAAGACCCCGACAAAGAGAAAGUGUGCCUGAACGACUUAUUUCAUUGGAGGCAUCGAGAUCUGCAAGAAUACUUUUUCUGUUUCUUAUGGGUGUCAUCUACGUUGGAUGUCUGUGUUUCCCCAGAACCUCAUCCACUCUACGCACUAUAACUCCGCUACAAACACUUACCUUCGGCUCUAUUCCCCGCAGUUCCUGUGCUAUCCUCUCCUGCUGCCUACUCACCAUCAUCAUCCGGAUUCCUCACCUCCUCACCACCAUCUCGGAGUGUCAUCUUCUCAGUUGUAUUGUUCCCUUGUGUUUGUUUGUUUAUCCAUUUUCAUUAAAAACAAUUACUCACAUUUGCUUCCAGCCUUUCCUUCACCCCACCGUCACAUCUGAAUUAUGACUACUCAAUAAAUCUCAU